ACGGAAGGCAGCAGUGAGGAAUAUUGGUCAAUGGACGGAAGUCUGAACCAGCCAUGCCGCGUGAAGGAAUAAGGUCCUAUGGAUUGUAAACUUCUUUUUUGCGGGAGCAAUAAGGUCUACGUGUAGGCCGAUGAGAGUACCGCAAGAAUAAGCAUCGGCUAACUCCGUGCCAGCAGCCGCGGUAAUACGGAGGAUGCAAGCGUUAUCCGGAUUUAUUGGGUUUAAAGGGUGCGUAGGCGGUAUGGUAAGUCAGCGGUGAAAUGUCCACGCUUAACGUGGAACGUGCCGUUGAUACUGUCGUACUGGAAUUCGGUUGCCGUGGGAGGAAUGUGUAGUGUAGCGGUGAAAUGCUUAGAUAUUACACAGAACACCAAUUGCGAAGGCAUCUCACGAAACCGACAUUGACGCUGAGGCACGAAAGUGUGGGGAUCAAACAGGAUUAGAUACCCUGAUA
rnacentral:rRNA from 1 species